UACGUAGGGGGCAAGCGUUGUCCGGAUUUAUUGGGCGUAAAGAGCGCGUAGGCGGCCAGACAGGUCAGCUGUGAAAACUCGAGGCUCAACCUCGAGACGUCGGUUGAAACCGUCUGGCUAGAGUCCGGAAGAGGAGAGUGGAAUUCCCGGUGUAGCGGUGAAAUGCGCAGAUAUCGGGAAGAACACCCGUGGCGAAGGCGGCUCUCUGGGACGGUACUGACGCUGAGACGCGAAAGCGUGGGGAGCGAACAGG
rnacentral:rRNA from 1 species